GACGAACGCUGGCGGCGUGCUUAACACAUGCAAGUCGAACGGGCCUGUCUUCUUUUUUGGGGGUGGGUUGAGUGGCGAACGGGUGAGUAUCACGUGAGUAACCUGCCCUUCGGUCCUGGAUAACCGCUUGAAAGGGCGGCUAAUACGGGGUGGUCCGGUUGGUCCGCAUGGGCUGGUCGGGAUAGAUUCACUGUUUUUGGUGUUUCGGCGGGGGAUGGGCUCGCGGCCUAUCAGCUUGUUGGUGGGGUGAUGGCCUACCAAGGCGGUGACGGGUAGCCGGCCUGAGAGGGUGGGCGGCCACACUGGGACUGAGAUACGGCCCAGACUCCUGCGGGAGGCAGCAGUGGGGGGUAUUGCACAAUGGGCGGAAGCCUGAUGCAGCGACGUCGCGUGAGGGAUGGAGGCCUUCGGGUUGUGAACCUCUGCUUCCGGUGGUGAAGGCCCUGUCCGUGUGGUGGGGUUGACGGUAGCCGGGGAUGAAGCGCCGGCUAACUACGUG
rnacentral:rRNA from 1 species